GCCCUUUUAUAAUUGAAAUUUAAGUUAUAUUAUACAUCCCCUGUGAUUGUAUGCAUGGAUUUAACUAUAUAACUCACCAAAAACUCAGGUCAGAAGAAGUUGACAUUUAUUUUCUCGUAAUCGCCCACUCCUGAGACACCUGGCUGUAGUACUGAAGCUGACAUGCAUUCCUUCCUUAUUUCGUCAUUCAACUGUAUAUCACCCUUCUGCUUUGAAUCUGAUCACACCCAUAAGUUUACACAGUGUUUGGGUUUUUCCGUAGUUGCAAACACCCUUUGGACUUUUUGGCUUUGUUGAACAUUGUUGUCGUUGAAAGGCCUUCCGGCUUGGAUGGAGAGUCCCAUCUGAGCCAAGCAAACAUCCAAGGUCCAGGGGAGAGACUGCAUACACGAGCAUAUGUAAGAAAUACAUCAGCUGCGAUUAGGACACUAACAGGACCAUAUACUGGCAAUAAAAGUACAGGAAAUGGAAAACAUGGCCAUGAAAUGGCAUGAGCUGUCAGAGAUGAUUCUCCCUCUGCAAACUGCACCACCUACACAAGCCCCAGGAUGGGUUUGUCAGCAACGGCAUCAUAUGUCUACAAAAAUACAGGCCAUUUGGCUGAAACACGAACCCUGGGUUUCAAAGAAGUGUUGGGAUCCAUUCUCCAAAUGGUGCUGCAUUAGCCAAAUACACCACAAUUUUAUCUGGACUAAUCUCAGUCUGGACUGGCCAUUGGUGUUGUUUUAGGGAGCUGUUUUGUCACAAACCAGGAAGCAUCUCCAUUUGCCGUCAGAACACUAAGGCGGAACAUGGCAAUUCAGUGGGAGACAGGUCUUAACGAUAAGAACCUUCUACCAUAAUUGUAGUAAGACUUCCUUUGCUAGCACCAAAUUGUUUGAUUUUCUUUAGCUUCAAAUGAUAUUUGAAAUAAAACCAGCAGAACAGGCCUUUUCAGGUCAGUAUUCAAAAAAAGCCAACAUGCCUUUGGAGUGGAGUUACCACAGGAACCGGCUGCCAAACCGCUGAUGACGAACAGCAUAAGCAGAGAAGAUCUAGAAGAUCAGUGAGAGAAGCCAUCUGGCACCCGGGAGAUCAGAUACAAUGAGCAGAAGCCUAUUACACUAAAGUUUUAUUUAGUACACAAUCUGAAGCCUAAUUGAAAUAGCAACAUUACUGCCAGACAAUGUUGCCAUCAUGUGGUGAGGUCAUGUGAUCCAUGCAUGAACAUUACGUGUCGGUAACGAUAUGCUGUGCUCAGUGUCCCCAUAAAUCAGCUCUUUCUCUGGCCAUGUUCCCUUCCAUGUAACUUAAUCUGUUAGCUAAAUUAGAGCUUGUUUAAAUCUUAACCAAGAAUGUGGUGGGGGGGCAGUUUGCAAGGAUCUUGUUCCUUGCCAAAACAAACCAGCAAGACAGAGCGAGGAAGCUUCACGUAUGUCUUCACAUCCCCCGAGAACAAUUACUUUAUUUGUACAGUUUUGCCCUCAGGGAUGCAGACUUACCUGUAUAGUCACAAGUUGUUAUUAAAGUAAAUGGACGUCCUCGGGGCAGCAUUCCAGAUGUGGAGGCAACUUUCCGGAUGCCAAGAAGCAAACGAGUCAGAGAAACAUCCAGAAAGUGUAAGAUAGGGGUUUUUGAACUGCCGUGUUUCCUGUGUUUUCUUAAGAAACAGUGCAGAAAGAAAAAAAUUGUUCAGAAUGAAUGAACCAUUUUCAAAGAUGCUCUGAAAAAAGCACUUCUUCUUGGUUCCAUGCUCGGCAUUUUUCCCUUUUUGCUUUGACGUAUCUGUUCAGACGACUCGUCGACAUAAAGUAAAUAAAAAUCUCAGUGCUGUGGAUGAUCAUAGGUACCCUUGGCUGACAUACCCACCAGCUCAGUAAUAUUGCCAUUCCACCACAUUACUGUCAUCAACUUACUUUCCCUAUGGCAAGAAUUAGUGAAGCAAGAGUUUCAACUAACUCCAGACAUCUUUAUUCAAACUGGCCUUGAAAGCUUCUCUCAUGUCAUGCAAUGCAUAGUUAUUGCCCUCAUACCAAGUCAUGCAUGUUAUUAUUAAGCCCUUGGUAGACAAAGUAAUGGGUGGUAAGCAGGCGUCAGCACCACGACAUUAUGACAGCCUGACGGUCUCUGGCGGUAAGGCUAACCAACCUGUGUACGGAAAGCCUGACGGUCUCUGGCGGUAAGGCUAACCAACCUGUGUACGGAAAGCCUGACGGUCUCUGGCGGUAAGGCUAACCAACCUGUGUACGGAGAGGUUGGCGGUCUCCGACGGUAAGGUUAACCAACCUGUGUACGGAAAGCCUGACGGUCUCCGACGGUAAGGUUACACAGCCUGUGUACGGACAGGUUGGAGGUCUCCGACGGUAAGGUUACACAGCCUGUGUACGGACAGGUUGGCGGUCUCCGACGGUAAGGUUACACAGCCUGUGUACGGACAGGUUG